CUAUGAUUGGCUGCAGAUGUCAGGGCCGUCCCCAUCCCUCGCCCCUGAGCUAGUAUCAAGGUUGCACUGCAGAUCUCUGCCUUUCCGACCCUGCUUGGGGGCCCGAACCGCCGCCGACCUUGACCUCGAGAAUCCCGACACCCAGCCUUGCAGCAGCGUGGGUUCCAAGCCCAGGUAUGCCCCCGGCUUGAGCAAAAUGAGAGGCCCAGGAGCACGUGGUCUACGAGACUGAGGGUUCCGAACGGUACGUCUCUCAGAUUGGAAACUACAAACCAGACGCCAUUGAAGUUGGAAGCCUGUUUUAUACCAGUUAUUAGACUGAUGAGGGAAAGCCUGUAAUGAGGUGAACUAGUCUUAUAUAACAGGUGUCCAUUUAUUGCUGUAAGAUUUAAAGGACAGGCAGGAGAAGGCAGGUUAUGUAUUUCUCAGGACUCUAAGGUAGGUGAUUGUUCUCCCAUUUUAUGAAUGAAGAAAUGGGAACUUUCCAUCAAGAGUAUCUCUGAAUAAGGAACCCGAGACUGGGGACUUGAGUAAGUGCUCUUUGGCAAUUUCAUUGAAGGUGGUCUCCCAAAAUGUCUAACAGCAUGUUAAAGGGUUCUUUUUAAGGUGGGAGGGGGGCUGGAAGUUUUUUAGGGUUUGGCAAGGUUCAUUUGCAGUACCCAGUCAGUUGUCUAGCAGUCAGUAUGGUGUAACCUGCAUACCAGUUGCAUGUCACUCAUUUUCCAGAAUGUUAAAUAAAGGCACUCUGUUAAAAUUC